GGGGGCGUAGCUCAGUUGGUAGAGCGUUCGGUUCGCAUCCGAAAGACCGAGAGUUCGAAUCUCUUCGCUUCCACCA
rnacentral:tRNA from 1 species